rnacentral:rRNA from 1 species
CCUACGGGAGGCUGCAGUGAGGAAUAUUGGUCAAUGGACGAGAGUCUGAACCAGCCAAGUAGCGUGAAGGAUGACUGCCCUAUGGGUUGUAAACUUCUUUUAUAUGGGAAUAAAAUGUUCCACGUGUGGGAUUUUGUAUGUACCAUAUGAAUAAGGAUCGGCUAACUCCGUGCCAGCAGCCGCGGUAAUAUGGAGGAUCCGAGCGUUAUCCGGAUUUAUUGGGUUUAAAGGGAGCGUAGGUGGAUUGUUAAGUCAGUUGUGAAAGUUUGCGGCUCAACCGUAAAAUUGCAGUUGAAACUGGCAGUCUUGAGUACAGUAGAGGUGGGCGGAAUUCGUGGUGUAGCGGUGAAAUGCUUAGAUAUCACGAAGAACUCCGAUUGCGAAGGCAGUUCACUGGACUGCAACUGACACUGAGGCUCGAAAGUGUGGGUAUCAAACAGGAUUAGAUACCCUUGUAGUC